CCUACGGGAGGCAGCAGUGGGGAAUUUUGGACAAUGGGGGCAACCCUGAUCCAGCCAUGCCGCGUGUGUGAAGAAGGCCUUCGGGUUGUAAAGCACUUUCGGACGGAACGAAAUCGCGCGGGUGAAUAUCCCGCGUGGAUGACGGUACUGUAUGAAGAAGCACCGGCUAACUACGUGCCAGCAGCCGCGGUAAUACGUAGGGUGCGAGCGUUAAUCGGAAUUACUGGGCGUAAAGCGUGCGCAGGCGGCUUCGCAAGUCAGACGUGAAAUCCCCGGGCUUAACCUGGGAAUGGCGUUUGAAACUACGGAGCUGGAGUGUGGCAGAGGGAGGUAGAAUUCCACGUGUAGCGGUGAAAUGCGUAGAUAUGUGGAGGAAUACCGAUGGCGAAGGCAGCCUCCUGGGCCAACACUGACGCUCAUGCACGAAAGCGUGGGGAGCAAACAGGAUUAGAUACCCUGGUAGUCCACGCCCUAAACUAUGUCAACUAGUUGUUGGGGGAGUUAAAUCCCUUAGUAACGCAGCUAACGCGUGAAGUUGACCGCCUGGGGAGUACGGUCGCAAGAUUAAAACUCAAAGGAAUUGACGG
rnacentral:rRNA from 1 species